rnacentral:snRNA from 1 species
UUUCUUGUGCAGAGGCAUUAUCAUAGUCCAUGAAGUUCUACUGAGACGUGAUUAUUGCUGGUUGAAAAAUUAAAGCCAAUUCCCGCCUAGAUGACUUGAAAUAUAGUCAGUAACUUUAAUUUUUGAUAGUCUCUCAGGAGA